rnacentral:Y_RNA from 1 species
GACUUGUCCGAAGGUAGUGAGUUAUCUCGAUUGUCCACAGUCAGUUACAGAUCGAACUCCUCAUUCUACUCUUCCCCCUUCUCACUACUUCACUUGACUAGUCUUUU